UACGGGGGGGGGCAAGCGUUGUUCGGAAUUACUGGGCGUAAAGGGCGCGUAGGCGGUUCGCUAAGUUGAAUGUGAAAACUCUGGGCUUAACCCAGAGCCUGCAUUCAAUACUGGCGGGCUAGAGUUCUGGAGGGGAUAGCGGAAUUCCUGGUGUAGCGGUGAAAUGCGUAGAUAUCAGGAGGAACACCGGUGGCGAAGGCAGGUCUCUGGGCCACUACUGACGCUGAGAAGCGAAAGCAUGGGGAGCGAACAGG
rnacentral:rRNA from 1 species